rnacentral:rRNA from 1 species
GCAUAUCAAUAAGCGGAGGAAAAGAAACCAACAGGGAUUGCCUUAGUAACGGCGAGUGAAGCGGCAACAGCUCAAAUUUGAAAUCUGGCCCUCGGGUCCGAAUUGUAAUUUGUAGAGGAUGCUUUUGGUGCGGUGCCUUCUGAGUUCCUUGGAACAGGACGCCUUAGAGGGUGAGAGCCCCGUACAGUUGGACACCAAGCCUUUGUAAAGCUCCUUCGACGAGUCGAGUAGUUUGGGAAUGCUGCUCUAAAUGGGAGGUAAAUUUCUUCUAAAGCUAAAUAUUGGCCAGAGACCGAUAGCGCACAAGUAGAGUGAUCGAAAGAUGAAAAGUACUUUGAAAAGAGGGUUAAAUAGCACGUGAAAUUGUUGAAAGGGAAGCGUUUAUGACCAGACCUUCGUCGGGCGGAUCAUCCGGUGUUCUUCACCGGUGCACUUCGCCCGGCUUAGGCCAGCAUCGGUUUUCGUAGGGGGAUAAAGGCCUAGGGAAUGUGGCUCCCUCCGGGGAGUGUUAUAGCCCUGGGCGUAAUACCUUUAUGGGGACCGAGGUUCGCGCUCCGGCAAGGAUGCUGGCGUAAUGGUCAUCAACGACCCGUCUAAAUAACGGCCUC